rnacentral:rRNA from 1 species
CCUACGGGAGGCAGCAGUGGGGAAUAUUGCACAAUGGGGGAAACCCUGAUGCAGCGACGCCGCGUGAGUGAAGAAGUACUUCGGUAUGUAAAGCUCUAUCAGCAGGGAAGAAAUAGCGACCUUUGGGUCGCAAGACGGUACCCGAUUAAGAAGCCCUGGCUAACUACGUGCAAGCAGCCGCGGUAAUACGUAGGGGGCAAGCGGUAUCCGGUUUUACUGGGUGUAAAGGGAGCGUAGACGGCAGCGCAAGUCGGAAGUGAAAGGCCGGGGCUUAACCCCGGAACUGCAUUGGAAACUGGGCGGCUAGAGUGCAGGAGAGGUAAGUGGAAUUCCGAGUGUAGCAGUGAAAUGCGUAGAUAUUAGGAAGAACACCGGUGGCGAAGGCAGCUUACUGGACUGUAACUGACGUUGAGGCUCGAAAGCGUGGGGAGCAAACAGGAUUAGAUACCCCAGUAGUC